UUAAGUCAAAGAAAUAUUGCAGGUUUAAGAUUUUGAACUCAAUUAUGUGAGUUUUGAAAGACAAACUUACAGCUGUGAGACGUGUUAACUUUUUCCUCAUUUUGCCGUACCUCCAAAAGUUGAGAGAGCUCAGGUUUUUAAGUGAGCAUUUAAAAAACAAACAAACAAACAAAAAAAGAACUGAAUGAGGGAGUGGGAACUAUUUCCCAGAGUGCUUUGCAUCACGUGUUUGUAUCGAAGAUGGAUGUGUGUUACACCGACCCGCCUCUUGUGUGUUAUCGAGGCAGAUGUUUGUUCAAUCUGACUAAAAUUCAAUAAACUGCAUUUUAGACAUUUUUCCUCCAACUUACAAUAAAUAAUCAAUCUUAACUCGAUAAGGUAAUUCAGAAUGAUACAGAAAUUUAUCACGACGACUCACAAUUAAAGGUUAAUGCACUAUCAGAACUAAAAGAAAAACAAACCCCAAAACAAAAACAAUGUUUAGACUAAUUGUUUUUUGCUGAAUCAUUUUUUGAUGAACUUUUCAUUUUUGAAUUAAAACCAGAACAGCUCUCCCAUUGACUUCACUUGCAUCUCCAACCUUCGUUGUCAAGCCAAAACCCACCUUCGGAUGUUUUGCAGUGUACUUAUUGAAGAUCUGUGCCUGUUUGGGUCGGAAACGUCAAAUCAGCGAUGGAGGCGUAACACACGGCGAGUACGGCGACUUCAGCCUGGAGGCGCGCUGAAUGGAAACGGCUUCCAAGUUUAAAUCCAGUUUGUAGGUAACUGCGAGUUCAUUAAGAAGUGGGCUGAAGGGGGUCGGGGCGGCACGCGCAUCAGGAGCAGUUUGUUCAUUUUCAUAUGCAAAACGUCUGAAAAAGAAAAAAAAAAACAAAAAAAAAACCUUGGGACAUACGGAGAGUCUGAGCUCAUCAUGAGGGGAAACGUAACACCAACCGGACCCUCGGUCAGGAGAAAACACGCAGCCGGCUCAGACUUCAGACGGCUGCCUGCGUGUGGCUGACCGGGUCGAAGGUCAAACGCAGAAGCCGCGAGCGUGAUUACAUAACGGAGUGGGAGCGAGAUGUACUGGAACGGAUCAUUCUGUGUCCCAGACGCCACACCUUCAAACAAUCCUUUCAACAUGCCAGCUUGAUUUUAUGGGAGGUAAUUUUGAAGACGCGCAGCCUGGAAAACCUCAGACAAACACACCAAACCGGGAUGAGUAACUCGGCCUCUGAUGCAUGGAAACAACACAAGUCCCGCUUCGCAACGUGACUCAGGAUGCAGUUGGGGGGGAAGGCGGGAGGAGAGAAAUAACUGAAUAGCUAUGCGGUGAGGCAUCUUGAGACCCAAACCGCUUCCAGGACGCGAUGUGAGACGGACGGCGGAGGAUUGAGGACAAAAAGGACAAACCAGAAUGCGGUUGGACCUGCUCGUUGCUCUGGGUGUGGGCUACCCCACCCCGCAGAGUGGAAACCUAUUGGAUGUUGAGCCAUGCCACGGCAAAGAAAGGGAGGGGGGAGGCAGGAGUUUGGUCACAACAUGUCUUUAAAAUCCCAACAGAAGAAACGGACCAAUCAGGUGCCUGUAAAAGCCCUGGAGGAAAACCAAUAGGAGAGGCCAGUGGUUCAGUUACCUGACAAACCAGAGCGGUGAUGAAGUUUGACUCGCAGCCUUGCAGAGGUAUUAUAACCCCCUGAACUCACUUUAUCUCACUUCUUACAACCAACUUCAUUGUAUUUAAUGGCUAUUUUGUGCCAGACUAACUUGAAAUAUUGCAUUUUUUUAUUUAUUUAUUUUUUUUACAAAGGCACAAGUCUAAACCGACAUAUGUUAUAGUAAAUUACUGAAAAUAAACCAAUUAAAAUGAAACAUUAUGGAUUCAACAUCAAUUGCUAGCACAGCUUAGCAUAGCAUUAAAGGAGUUUUCACUUUUCAUUGCAUGUGAUUUUCUUAAAGCGACUGAAUUGACGAUGCAUUUUUAGAAAGGUAAAACUCUCUUUUUGUGAUUUAAAAUGCCGCGCGGUUUUAUUCUCGGCUUUCAAGUCUUGCUACAGAUUUUCAGAAGGAGUUGAACCGCCACGCCCGGAUGCACCGAUCCACUUUUGUCACUUCUGAUACCAAUAUCUGAUUCUUAGUAUCUGCAGAUACCGAUCCGAUACAGAAAGACUGGAUUGACUAAACACUUUUCUUUGUAAAAAAAAAAAAAAAAAACAAACAAAACAAAAGAAAACACAGGCAUAAAUGUACUGAAUUAUAAAUUUAUUUGAUAACUCUGCACCGGUGCAACACACUUACAUACAUUGAUAGAUUCACAAGCCUGGUCAAACAUGUAAAAACAACUUUAAUUUGUUCUGUCAGUGCAAUUAGGAGUAACAUAAAUAAUAAACUGAAACAAACAAAAACAAUAAGUUGACUAUCUUGGCCCAACAUGCACAAAAUAAACCGGGGGAAAAAAAGUAGUAAAGUUUUGAACAAAAAUAAUUUAUGUUCUUCAAAUGUUUCCUGCAGAACAUCUUUUUCCCCCCCAUGUUCCUGCUGAGCUGCUCUGAAACAUUAUUAUUGCUUCCAUGUAAAAAAAAAUCAUGUUGGUCAAAUUCAAAGGUCACUUCAAACCUAAAUUUGUCAAACUCUGAUCGGUGUGGCUAUUUUAGAAAAGCAUUCCCACAGCAUGAUGCUGCCGUCACUUCUUUAGAUUCUUAGAGUGCAGGAUUAAUAGUUGAGCUGUCCACAGGUUUUCUUCGAACCUCUGCGUCCCAAUUGGGGGAUUUUGUGGCAGCAAGUUUGUUGCGCUGGAUUUGAUCCAGGGGUGCGAGAGGAAAAGGGCGGAACGCAAAUGCACACCGCACUUAUCAGAUCUCUUUUUGCAGAAAACAAAGUAAGAGGCAUAGAUCGUGUCGGUCGACCGCAUGAAACAAACAACAAAACAGAUAGAUUUUUUUUAUAAUUUUUUUGUGGUUGCAAGGUGACAGAAUGUGGGAAAGAGGCGGGGAAACUUUGUCGAGCCUUUUGUCCGGUGUCCCAGCUGACAGCAGCUGCGUUAAAAAUGACUUCCCCUCGCAGGGCGGAAGGACUAGUUUUGGUUUUAAACCCGCCGUCAGAAAGCUGGAUUUGCUCUUCAAACAACGACCCACCCUGCACGUUGGCAUUUUGACAUUUUUAUUUUAUUUUACACAGUGGAGACAUGACUUAAGAGGUGGCCGCUUUCGAACAAGGACUCCACUGUCAUGGCGCGAACGCGGCUGAGUCACGCAUUACCAAAUUAACGGCCGCCUGUUUGUCUCACUGCUGAUGCUAACCACUGAUGUCGGCGUUCAAUCAUCCUGAGAAGUGUGAGGCAUCGGAUCUGAGGAGAUGGAUCUAAACAAAACGCAGCCCAAAUCCCCCCACCCCAAAAUGAAAGGUGUGUGCAAGAGAGGAGUCAGGAGAAUUUCAAAACAAAAGCCUGAAGCCGGCCCGACCGCUGCCCAUGUCACUGCUGGCCUUUUCUUUUUUGCACAAUCACAAAUCUCUGCAGUCUGUGGUCGGCGGUCUCAUUCCUUUGUCGUUUUGCACAACGUCGUACCCUGCCCUGAGAUUUCUUCACUUUAAAAAAAAAAAAAAAAAGAAAACAGCCCUCGGGCUCAUUUACAGGAUUUACAGGGAGGAGGAGGGAUUGCAGGUGAAAUACUUCUCUGAAUGAGGCAGAUCACACAAAAGGAGGGGAGGUAAGAGUUAGUGUUGCAACUCCCACCUGACCUGAGGCUGUUGAGCAACUGAGAAAAAAAAAAAAAGUUAAGCUUUUUCCUCCUGGCGUCACCAGGCUGGUUUUGGUGAUAAACGUCCUGGUGGUGGACAAGCAUUUAAAAAAAAAAAGAAAGAAAACGCCUUUAAUUUUUUUCACGUUUUGUCUCUUUAUCUGUAAACUCUAAUGUACUUUAUGGAUUUCAUGUCAGGUAGACACAAAACAGUGCAUGGCUACAACAAAACAACAACAUGGCAAUCUGAAAAGUGUGGCGUACAUUUGCAUUCAGCCCCAGUGAGUCGGUGCUUUGUAAAACCAAUUACGGCUGCUAGUUUUUUACAUUUAUGUCCUCGUUGAAGAAGUUGACAUGUGUGCCUUUUUGUGACAUGAACAUGAUUGGCCAGCACUUUUCCAGUGGGGGAUGUGUGGCCCCUUCAACCCCCCCUCUUAAGAGCCCCACUGCCUCCACUUCUUCUAGAAAUAGUCCAAGUGCUAAAAAAAAAACCAUUAAUGUACUUUCAUGUACUUUCUAGUAAUCGUUUACUGUUAUUUGGUGUCAGAAACCUCUUAAUACUGACAUCACAAUCAUCGCCUAGCAACCCAAAUAGAGCUCCGCCCACUUUGUUACUAGAACACGAGCGCGUCUGGUGAGCUGGGUUUUUAUUAUGGACCGGAAGGAACAGCAUGUAACCGCGGGGUCAAAGAUGUAGGGUUGCACAGUUGCUCAUGUGUUUCAGGCUAUUUUCACGUGUGUAAAGUGUUGGUGAACAGUUUCGGGCCAGAAGCAGCUCAUUUGCAUAAAAGUGACAGAGUCACUUUUAUGGGAAGAACAGAGUCUAUUUUGAGAGAAUGAUUUUGUGGAAGGAAUGUAGUAAACAACUUUUCUCACAGACUUUUUCUUACUUCUUACUAACGGAUCUCCUUUAAGUUCUGGGCUUUGACUGGGCCAUUCUAACAUUUUACUAUAAUUUGAUCUGAACUAUUCCACUGUAGUUCUGGCUGGAUGUUUAGGAUUGUUGUAUUUUCUAAUUACUUCAGAUAUUUUUAGGGGUUUUAGACAAAAAAAAAAAAAAGAACUGAAUGCAAAUGCACAUCCUAUUUGAUUUACUAUAGUUUAUUUAUUUUCUGUGUUUACCAAACCACCAUAUCAGCUUUAUCGUCUCUGAACAAGUCACCAUAGAUAUUGAAGACAAACACAAACUUCACAGUUUCCAUUCCUUAUUUUCUCUGUUUCCGUUGCUUAGCAGUGCGGUUAUUACCAGCUUCCUUUUCCCAGACAAUGGAUGCAUAUUUUCACAUUCUACGCCUCACACUGCUCAACAGGAAGGGAGUCAUUUCUCACUCCUAACCAGCCGGGGAUUAUUGAGACGUGGCUCCGGUUCAGGUACAAAACACAUUGCUAACCGCUGGACCUGCACAGCACAACCCGCGCGACACAACAGCCUUUUUCCCCCACACCUCCACUGAGCUCAUGCCUGUGAAGGUAACAGCAGGUCAGAGAGUCUUUCUUAAAGGUUUAUCACCUAAAAUAAAAGGACUUCUAGCAGCAUCAAGGGAUGGAGUGACAAACUGUGUGGGUUGACGACGGGUUUAAGGAGAUACUUUAUAUAGUAGUCAGGUUAGACUCCAACAUGAGAACCUUAAGAUGCUGGUUUCUUAGUAAACACUAAAAUACUUAUGCUUUUUUUAAAUAAUAUUAGUGAACUGCUGCCAUAUUUAAACUGGUGACUAAUAUGUUGCAGUCAUCAUGUCCAAAAAUAUCCUGUUAAUUCUGCUCUUUUGGAGUGACUGUACGAGAAAAUGUACUGGACUCGGUUACAGAAACUCUUAAAUUAUGCAUAUGAGCUCAAAUGUUUACAUACACCCAGCGGCGGUUCUUGCAGGACCGGUGCCCUGGGUGAGCCCCUCCUUCUGCUGCCCCCCCAACCAAUUAAAAUGCAAAAAAUGAUCACAAUUUUAUUUUUUGUAAUCUGGAAUCCCAGCACUUAGCAGGAAACAAAAUGAAAUUACUCCACAUGUAUACCAAUAGCAGAGAACCACUGACAGAUAAGUUGUACUUUAUUUUCUAGUUCUUGGUCACCCUGCCCCUUUCUAAUGCCACCCUGGGCAACCGCCCAUACCAAACACAGCCACUGCUCACACCACUUAUAGUUAGAUCAAUGUCCUUCAACGAGUUGCAGAUUUAUUUUUUUUUAACAACAAAUUUCUGAAGUUUAGCAGAGCUAUCCUAAAUUGUUUGAUUUCCACGGACAAACAUGUUUUCCGUUGUCUUCUGCUUGAUGACAGGCUUCCCCUUCAGUGGCUCCUGGGUUGUGACCGUUUAGGUGAGACAAUAAAAAGCUGGAGAAAAAUUGGGUGUUUUAGUGGAACAACAGUGUCAAACACAGAUUAAAGAUGGUUUUAGGAAAGACGAAGCAGGCUAGCGUCAAGUUUCUAAAGCCACGUCUGUGUGAAGGAACCGACCAAAUUAAAUGAGAACCAAGAAGAAUUGUAAAAAAAAAAAAAAAAUACACCAGUAAUUACUUGUGGCACUUUCUGGAAGGUGUGUGUCCUGUUAAUUUUGGAGUAAAAUUAACUACAUUUCAGCAAAAAACCAAAAAUAAAAACACAGUCAAACAUGGACCUAUACUUCCACCUCUGAUUGGCCCAAAUAAAUGCAAAAUGAAGGUUUUUAUGUGCCUUAGUCAAAUUUGAGAAUAAAUCUGAGACACACUGAUGUGACCUUUAUCUAGUUGUUUAUAUGAACAAAGAUAGUUUGAUGAUCUGGACCAUUUAAAUGUAACAAAAAAGCAAAAAUAAAUCUUUCUCACUUUUUUCGAGCAUUGUAUCUCAAUGGAAAAUGUACUUAAAUAUUUCCCACUCUCACUUUCUACUCGGUUUAUGAGUAAAAUGAAACGAGUAAAUACCAGCUUAAAGCCAAACGAAGAGAGUAUGCCAAGCAAGCAACUAAUAAAACCUGCUAGGGAUCAGUUUUACGCAUCUGUAAAGCGGAAACUCUAGUUUUAUUGUACAGUAAACAUUUCUAGUGAUUUUCUAAAGGUUAAAUAUCAUCUGAGCCACAGUUUUCACUCAACAACAACUAUUUCCUCAUGUAUUUAGCCGAGCUAGCAUGUUUCCACGAUUACCAACCGCAGAGGUUUCAGUUACUUGGCAACUUUUCCCCCUCAAAUCACAACAUCUAACUCUACUGCAGUCCUUAUGUCAUCACUUCCUGUCGUUGCAAAGCAUUUCUACUUCCUCCUGCUCCCAGUACAGUGACACCCAUUGCUUUUUUUAAACUUUUUUUUUUUUUUUAUUUCAUCCAGCUCACACACACAAAGCCUUCCUCUCUCAAUGAAAACCAGACGCACACGGCGUCCUCACGCUCCGAGCCAAAAGAAAACAACUCCCAGCCGUAGCUAGGCAACCCCAAAUAUGAGUCAUCCCACCGCCGCGCCCUUCAUCAACGGAUCGGCCGCCCGCCUCUUCUACGAGGUUCUGUUUUAGAGGCGACGUGAGAAUAAUUCGACUAGCGACCGGACGUCUGCGUGUUUCAUCUGGCAGAGCGAAGUGGGUUCGUUUCUGAGCCGCUUCAGGAAGACAGACGUGCAUACGAGGACGGUUUUACUUAUUAUUCUGUUCCUUGACAUCAUAAAAAAAAAACUUAUUGAAGAAGUUGUAAAAUGAAAUUUAUGACAAUGGUUGCAUUUUAAAA